GAAGGCGGCGGCGACCCUGUGACGGCGCGGCGGUCCUCGGCACGGCGCGGCGCGGCCCGGCUCCCUGUGAACCCCCGGCCGGGCGCGGGCUGCGGCCCCGUCCGGUCCGCCUGGCCUGGCCUCGCCGGGGCGCGGUGCCGGAUGAACGUUUGGGGGAUUUCUGAGCAGAACCUUUCAUGAAAGAAGACUGAGGAGCUAUGAUUUCAGUGACCUUAUAGAAAUCUGGAAUAUAGUCACAUAGCUCCAGCAGCUUAACAGAACGUUCAGUAAAGCAAAACCAACCAAUGUUCUGAGGGCACAGCUGAUGCUUGAACUUUUGUGUAAAUCUUACAGCUGGAGACGCAGACUGAGGUCGAAAGAUUAUGAUCAGGAAACCUUCAAUGUGUUUCCAGCUCAACCACCAACCUGAAUGUGAUCUGUUGCGUUGCCCUAUCUCUCCCUAUUAGCCACAUCUUUUCUAUAGCACAGUUUUGGGGGCAUUGGGACUGCAUCUUAUUACAUAUGUUUACAGUGAAUAGCACAAUGACUUUUAGGUGGGAGUAUGAUAAAUAAAUGCGUAACCAAA
rnacentral:lncRNA from 1 species